UUUAAUAAGUGUAUUUUUUCUUAAUUAACGAACCCAUCAACACAAAAAUCCCCAAUUUUUUCAAAUGUUGUUAUCGUUUUUUUUCUACUAAAAAUUUAAAGAGGACAGUAAGGUGUAGUAGGACGUACGACAAUAUAAUUCGGGUGAGUUUAGAAUGCCUGGUCACACCUCUUGUCGUUCUUGUGCUUCGUGCUCCAAGAAUACAGAACACAAAACCAAAUCAUCAAAAGUGAAAAAACGAACAACAAAAAGAAGAUCUCGUGGUGCAGACUCUCCGUGUUGUUCUUGCGCGAAAAAAACCAGGAGUACGAAGUUGAAGAAAAGAGCUCGCUGCUGUUGUAGUUGUACCAACAAGUGUUGCAAAUACAGCCCCUCUUCCGAAGAUAGCACCGAUACGGCGUGUAGCUGCUCAGAUUGCUCCUCUGGGAGUCCCACUUCCGAUAGUUCCUUUUCUUCGGAUUAUGAAACUACCGACAGCGACAGCGGCAGCGAAGACUGUGGGGCUACCCCAUCAAAAAGAUGUACGUGCAGGCGUUAAGUGCUGUUUAACGCUGGUCGUGAUUUGAUUUUUUCUUAGUUGUGUAAUUUUAGUGUGCAAUUCAGAAACUGUGUAUUAACUUGAGUAUUAUGUAAAGAUGAUAAAGUAAUAAUAAAGCAGGUAGAGGUAAAAAUUGAAAGAACAAAACGCAAAUUAACAGGUAAGCUUUAUUUGGGUAAAAUCAGGCCAAUACAUAUGGUAUUACGGUCAAAAUCAACGUCUAGUAUUUAUUGUCGUCUUUCCCAGCAAUCCAGUCUUCAAUUUCUUGCACCCUAAAAAUAUAAUAAUAUAAAAAUUAAAAGUAUGUGCAGUUCUAAUAAAUAGUUACAGCUAAA